GGCCGUCUAGCUCAGUUGGUUAGAGCCUCGUGCUAAUAACGCGAGGCAUCACAACAGGUCUUGGGUUCGACCCCCACGAUGGCCA